AGUGAACGCUGGCGGUAGGCCUAACACAUGCAAGUCGAACGGCAGCACAGUAAGAGCUUGCUCUUACGGGUGGCGAGUGGCGGACGGGUGAGGAAUACAUCGGAAUCUACUUUUUCGUGGGGGAUAACGUAGGGAAACUUACGCUAAUACCGCAUACGACCUACGGGUGAAAGCAGGGGAUCUUCGGACCUUGCGCGAUUGAAUGAGCCGAUGUCGGAUUAGCUAGUUGGCGGGGUAAGGGCCCACCAAGGCGACGAUCCGUAGCUGGUCUGAGAGAAUGAUCGCCACCAUUGAAACGAGGCAAGGGUCCAAACUCCAACGGAAGCCAGCGGGGGGGAUUAUGGGACAAGGGGCGAAGGCCUAAUCCAGCCAUACGGCGUGGGUGAAAAAGCCCUUGGGGUGGUAAAGCCCUUUUGUGGGGAAGGAAAAGCGGCAGGUUAAUCCCCGGCUGUUCUGACGGUACCAAAAGAAUAAGCACGGCUAACUUCGUG
rnacentral:rRNA from 1 species